rnacentral:rRNA from 1 species
AGUGAACGCUGGCGGUAGGCCUAACACAUGCAAGUCGAACGGCAGCACAGUAAGAGCUUGCUCUUACGGGUGGCGAGUGGCGGACGGGUGAGGAAUACAUCGGAAUCUACUUUUUCGUGGGGGAUAACGUAGGGAAACUUACGAUAAUACCGCAUACGACCUACGGGUGAAAGCAGGGGAUCUUCGGACCUUUCGCGAUUGAAUGAGCCGAUGUCGGAUUAGCUAGUUGGCGGGGUAAAGGCCCACCAAGGCGACGAUCCGUAGCUGGUCUGAGAGGAUGAUCAGCCACACUGGAACUGAGACACGGUCCAGACUCCUACGGGAGGCAGCAGUGGGGAAUAUUGGACAAUGGGCGCAAGCCUGAUCCAGCCAUACCGCGUGGGUGAAGAAGGCCUUCGGGUUGUAAAGCCCUUUUGUUGGGAAAGAAAAGCAGCAGGUUAAUACCCCGCUGUUCUGACGGUACCCAAAGAAUAAGCACCGGCUAACUUCGUG